UGAAUACGAGACGCUAAGGCGUCGAAGUAGUGUAUGUCAUACUUCCAAGAAAAGCUUGCACUGUCAUAAGUAAAAAAUGCCUGUACCAUAACCGACACAGGUGGGUAGGUAGAGUAUACUAAGGGGCGCGAGAUAACUCUCUCUAAGGAACUCGGCAAAAUAACUCCGUAACUUCGGGAGAAGGAGUACCUUAUUCUAUAAGGUUGCAAUAACAAGAUCCAAGCAACUGUUUAUCAAAAACACAGGUCUCCGCUAAGUCGUAAGACGAUGUAUGGGGGCUGACGCCUGCCCAGUGCCAGAAGGUUAAAGAAGUCGGUUAGCAUUAGCGAAGCUGGUAACUGAAGCCCUGGUGAACGGCGGCCGUAACAAUAACGGUCCUAAGGUAGCGAAAUUCCUUGUCGGGUAAGUUCCGACCCGCACGAAAGGCGUAAUGAUUUGGAUACUGUCUCGGAGAGGGGCUCGGUGAAAUAGACUUGUCUGUGAAGAUGCGGACUACCUGCACCAGGACAGAAAGACCCUAUGAAGCUUUACUGUAACUUGAAAUUGAAAUUGGACUUUAUUCGCGCAGUAUAGGUGGGAGGUGUUGAUUAUAAUCUUGCGGGAUUAUUGGAGCCAUCAGUGAGAUACCACUCUUGUAAUGUUAGAUUUCUAACUUUGAAUCAUUAUCUGGUCAAAGGACAGUUUCAGGCGGGCAGUUUGACUGGGGCGGUCGCCUCCCAAACGGUAACGGAGGCGUACAAAGGUUUCCUCUGAACGGGUAGAAAUCGUAUCUAGAGUGUAAAGGCAUAAGGAAGCUUGACUGUGAGACCUACAAGUCGAACAGGGACGAAAGUCGGUCUUAGUGAUCUGACGGUACUGAGUGGAAAGGCCGUCACUCAACGGAUAAAAGUUACUCUAGGAUAACAGGCUGAUCUCCCCCAAGAGUUCACAUCGACGGGGAGGUUUGGCACCUCGAUGUCGGCUCAUCGCAUCCUGGGGCGGUAGUACGUCCCAAGGGUUGGGCUGUUCGCCCAUGAAAGCGGUACGCGAGCUGGGUUCAGAACGUCGUGAGACAGUUCGGUCCAUAUCCGGUGUAGGCGUUAGAAUAUUGAGAGGAGCCUUCUUUAGUACGAGAGGACCGAGAAGGACAUACCUCUGGUGUACCAGUUAUCGUGCCAACGGUAAACGCUGGGUAGCUAUGUAUGGAGUGGAUAACCGCUGAAAGCAUCUAAGUGGGAAGCCCACCUCAAGAUAAGUAUUCUCAUC
rnacentral:rRNA from 1 species